UACGUAGGGUGCAAGCGUUGUCCGGAAUUAUUGGGCGUAAAGAGCUCGUAGGCGGCUUGUCACGUCGACUGUGAAAACCCGGGGCUCAACUCCGGGCCUGCAGUCGAUACGGGCUGGCUUGAGUGCGGUAGGGGAGACUGGAAUUCCUGGUGUAGCGGUGAAAUGCGCAGAUAUCAGGAGGAACACCGGUGGCGAAGGCGGGUCUCUGGGCCGAUAUCGACGCUGAGGAGCGAAAGCGUGGGGAGCGAACAGG
rnacentral:rRNA from 1 species